rnacentral:lncRNA from 1 species
GUACUGCGCGUGCGCGGCAUCCCAGCCCCGCCCCGGAGGCGUUCCUAGACGGACGGUAGUACCGUGGGGCGGCUGAUAACGCUUUAGCGAGCCGCGAAGAUAGGAGGCGGGGAAGAAGGGGGACGUGUACCUCUCCCUCAUUCACGGUACCACCGCGAGGGGGAGUGGGGGGCUACAAGGGGACGGAGAGAAGAGUCCAGACGUCCCACAUCCUGAGGGCGAGUUUCAGCCUCGUAGAGGGCAGCGAAAGUAAUUGCAUGGAUCAGGAAAAUCUUGCAAUCGGAAAACAGCAGCGUCCCCGUAAUUUCAAUAUAGGUACAUUUACCUGAACUCAUCACCUUCCCACCCCCAUCCCAUCGACUCUGUGCUGUAUCCUGAACCGGCUGACAGAACAAUGAUGUAGACUUGACUUGUUUUCGCCAACCUGGAAUGAAGCAAAGCUCUUGUGCACCCAAGAUCUGCUCUCUGUUGUAAAUCCUGUUCAGACCUGGUCUAAUUGGUUUGAAUAAAUAAAGAACCGGAAUCUUUCUCAUCCAAA